rnacentral:rRNA from 1 species
AUGAACGCUAGCGACAGGCCUAACACAUGCAAGUCGAGGGGCAGCACAAGGAGCAAUCUGAGGUGGCGACCGGCGCACGGGUGAGUAACACGUAUGCAACCUGCCUGUAAGCGGGGAAUAACCCGUUGAAAGACGGACUAAUACCGCAUAAUACUAAAUUACUGCAUGGUAAUUUAUUUAAACAUUUAUGGCUUACAGAUGGGCAUGCGCAUGAUUAGCUAGUUGGAGAGGUAACGGCUCCCCAAGGCAACGAUCAUUAGGGGUUCUGAGAGGAAGGUCCCCCACACUGGUACUGAGACACGGACCAGACUCCUACGGGAGGCAGCAGUGAGGAAUAUUGGUCAAUGGACGAGAGUCCGAACCAGCCAAGUCGCGUGCAGGAAGAAUGUCCUAUGGAUUGUAAACUGCUUUUGCAGGGGAAUAAAGUGCAUCACGUGUGAUGUUUUGUAUGUACUCUGCGAAUAAGGAUCGGCUAACUCCGUGCCAGCAGCUGC